rnacentral:rRNA from 1 species
AAUCCAUAGGUUAAUGAGGCGAACCGGGGGAACUGAAACAUCUAAGUACCCCGAGGAAAAGAAAUCAACCGAGAUUCCCCCAGUAGCGGCGAGCGAACGGGGAGGAGCCCAGAGCCUGAAUCAGCAUGUGUGUUAGUGGAAGCGUCUGGAAAGGCGCGCGAUACAGGGUGACAGCCCCGUACACAAAAGCGCAUGUGCUGUGAGCUCGAUGAGUAGGGCGGGACACGUGGUAUCCUGUCUGAAUAUGGGGGGACCAUCCUCCAAGGCUAAAUACUCCUGACUGACCGAUAGUGAACCAGUACCGUGAGGGAAAGGCGAAAAGAACCCCGGCGAGGGGAGUGAAAAAGAACCUGAAACCGUGUACGUACAAGCAGUGGGAGCACAGGUUUACCUGUGUGACUGCGUACCUUUUGUAUAAUGGGUCAGCGACUUAUAUUCUGUAGCAAGGUUAACCGAAUAGGGGAGCCGGAGGGAAACCGAGUCUUAAUUGGGCGUUAAGUUGCAGGGUAUAGACCCGAAACCCGGUGAUCUAGCCAUGGGCAGGUUGAAGGUUGGGUAACACUAACUGGAGGACCGAACCGACUAAUGUUGAAAAAUUAGCGGAUGACCUGUGGCUGGGGGUGAAAGGCCAAUCAAACCGGGAGAUAGCUGGUUCUCCCCGAAAGCUAUUUAGGUAGCGCCUCGUGAAUUCAUCUCCGGGGGUAGAGCACUGUUUCGGCUAGGGGGCCAUCCCGGCUUACCAACCCGAUGCAAACUGCGAAUACCGGAGAAUGUUAUCACGGGAGACACACGGCGGGUGCUAACGUCCGUCGUGAAGAGGGAAACAACCCAGACCGCCAGCUAAGGUCCCAAAGUCAUGGUUAAGUGGGAAACGAUGUGGGAAGGCCCAGACAGCCAGGAUGUUGGCUUAGAAGCAGCCAUCAUUUAAAGAAAGCGUAAUAGCUCACUGGUCGAGUCGGCCUGCGCGGAAGAUGUAACGGGGCUAAACCAUGCACCGAAGCUGCGGCAGCGACACUCAGGUGUUGUUGGGUAGGGGAGCGUUCUGUAAGCCUGCGAAGGUGGCCUGUGAGGGUUGCUGGAGGUAUCAGAAGUGCGAAUGCUGACAUAAGUAACGAUAAAGCGGGUGAAAAGCCCGCUCGCCGGAAGACCAAGGGUUCCUGUCCAACGUUAAUCGGGGCAGGGUGAGUCGACCCCUAAGGCGAGGCCGAAAGGCGUAGUCGAUGGGAAACGGGUUAAUAUUCCCGUACUUGGUGUUACUGCGAAGGGGGGACGGAGAAGGCUAUGUUGGCCGGGCGACGGUUGUCCCGGUUUAAGCGUGUAGGUGUGUGUUCCAGGUAAAUCCGGUUCACUUUAACACUGAGGCGUGA